AUUGAACGCUGGCGGCAUGCUUUACACAUGCAAGUCGAACGGCAGCGCGGGGCAACCUGGCGGCGAGUGGCGAACGGGUGCGUAAUAUAUCGGAACGUACCCAGAAGUGGGGGAUAACGUAGCGAAAGUUACGCUAAUACCGCAUACGAUCUACGGAUGAAAGUAGGGGACCGCAAGGCCUUAUGCUUUUGGAGCGGCCGAUAUCUGAUUAGCUAGUUGGCGAGGUAAAGGCUCACCAAGGCGACGAUCAGUAGCUGGUCUGAGAGGACGACCAGCCACACUGGAACUGAGACACGGUCCAGACUCCUACGGGAGGCAGCAGUGGGGAAUUUUGGACAAUGGGCGCAAGCCUGAUCCAGCAAUGCCGCGUGAGUGAAGAAGGCCUUCGGGUUGUAAAGCUCUUUUGUCAGGGAAGAAACGGUAGAGGCUAAUAUCCUUUGCUAAUGACGGUACCUGAAGAAUAAGCACCGGCUAACUACGUG
rnacentral:rRNA from 1 species